AUGUGUGCUGAGGAACACCAGCUCAUAAUUUUUUCUUUCACACUGCCGUCUAAAGCGCCAGCUCGGUAUCUGCAGUGGGGAUGCAGUGGAGGACCGGUUUUUCAGAGAGAGAGAGAGAGAGAGAGAGAGAUGUAUGCAAAUCCAAGAAAAAGAGGAGAACAGGCUUUAGCAGAACUUCUACCUUCUUUAGCAAAUGAUGGUUACCGAGUUCUUAUGUUCAGCCAGUGGACCACAAUGUUUAUAUCAUUGACUCAUCCAUAUCGAAUGUGUAGUUGGAUGGCUACAAUUUUACCCAAUAAGCUUAAAAGACAGUGA
rnacentral:rRNA from 1 species